CGUGGAGACAGGUGGUGCAUGGCUGUCGUCAGCUCGUGUCGUGAGAUGUUGGGUUAAGUCCCGCAACGAGCGCAACCCUCACCCCUUGUUGCCAACAGGUCACGCUGGGCACUCUAGGGGAACUGCCCCGGUCAGCGGGGAGGAAGGCGGGGAUGACGUCAAGUCAUCAUGCCCCUUACGUCCUGGGCUACACGCGUGCUACAAUGGCCGGUACAAAGGGCAGCGACGCCGCAAGGUGUAGCAAAUCCCAAAAAACCGUUCUCAGUUCGGAUCGGAGUCUGCAACUCGACUCCGUGAAGUUGGAAUCGCUAGUAAUCGUGGAUCAGCAUGCCACGGUGAAUACGUUCCCGGGCCUUGUACACACCGCCCGUCACACCACGAAAGUCUGCUGUACUCGAAGUCGCUGAG
rnacentral:rRNA from 1 species